ensembl:lncRNA
GAGAGGGUUAGACAGAGAGGGUUAGGGUAAGACAGAGAGGGUUAGGGUAAGACAGAGAGGGUUAGAGUAAGACAGAGAGGGUUAGGGUAAGACAGAGAGGGUUAGAGACAGAGAGGGUUAGAGUCAGAGAGGGUUAGAGUCAGAGAGGGUUAGAGACAGAGAGGGUUAGAGACAGAGAGGGUUAGAGUCAGAGAGGGUUAGAGUCAGAGAGGGUUAGAGUCAGAGCGGGUUAGAGACAGAGAGGGUUAGAGACAGAGAGGGUUAGUGUAAGACAGAGAGGGUUAGAGACAGAGAGGGUUAGAGACAGAGAGGGUUAGGGUAAGACAGAGAGGGUUAGAGACAGAGAGGGUUAGAGUGCUUCUACACCUGCAUUGCUUGCUGUUUGGGGUUUUAGGCUGGGUUUCUGUACAGCACUUUGAGAUAUCAGCUGAUGUACGAAGGGCUAUAUAAAUAAAUUUGAUUUGAUUUUGAUUUGAUUUGAUAGAGUCAGAAAGGGUUAGAGACAGAGGGUUAGAGACAGAGAGGGUUAGAGACAGAGAGGGUUAGGGUAAGACAGAGAGGGUUAGGGUAAGACAGAGAGGGUUAGAGACAGAGAGGGUUAGAGACAGAGAGGGUUAGAGUCAGAGAGGGUUAGAGUCAGAGAGGGUUAGAGACAGAGAGGGUUAGAGACAGAGAGGGUUAGAGACAGAGAGGGUUAGAGACAGAGAGGGUUAGAGUCAGAGAGGGUUAGAGACAGAGGGGGUUAGAGACAGAGAGGGUUAGAGACAGAGAGGGUUAGAGACAGAGAGGGUUAGAGACAGAGAGGGUUAGAGUCAGAGAGGGUUAGAGUCAGAGAGGGUUAGAGACAGAGAGGGUUAGAGACGGAGAGGGUUAGAGACAGAGAGGGUUAGAGACGGAGAGGGUUAGAGUCAGAGAGGGUUAGAGACAGAGAGGGUUAGAGACAGAGAGGGUUAGAGUCAAAGAGGGUUAGGGUAAGACAGAGAGGGUUAGGGUAAGACAGAGAGGGUUAGAGACAGAGAGGGUUAGAGACAGAGAGGGUUAGAGACAGAGAGGGUUAGGGUAAGACAGAGAGGGUUAGGGUAAGACAGAGAGGGUUAGGGUAAGACAGAGAGGGUUAGAGUCAGAGAGGGUUAGAGACAGAGAGGGUUAGGGUAAGACAGAGAGGGUUAGACACAGAGAGGGUUAGAGACAGAGAGGGUUAGAGACAGAGAGGGUUAGGGUAAGACAGAGAGGGUUAGAGAUAGAGAGGGUUAGGGUAAGACAGAGAGGGUUAGGGUAAGACAGAGAGGGUUAGGGUAAGACAGAGAGGGUUAGGGUAAGACAGAGAGGGUUAGAGACAGAGAGGGUUAGAGUCAGAGAGGGUUAGAGUCAGAGAGGGUUAGAGACAGAGAGGGUUAGAGACAGAGAGGGUUAGAGACAGAGAGGGUUAGAGUCAGAGAGGGUUAGAGUCAGAGAGGGUUAGAGUCAGAGCGGGUUAGAGACAGAGAGGGUUAGAGACAGAGAGGGUUAGAGACAGAGAGGGUUAGGGUAAGACAGAGAGGGUUAGAGACAGAGAGGGUUAGAGUCAGAGAGGGUUAGAGUCAGAGAGGGUUAGAGACAGAGAGGGUUAGAGACAGAGAGGGUUAGA